CGAUAUACAUCUCCUGAUCACAGUCUUGAUCGCUACCCGAUAACCUCUCCAGGCUUCGCAUUAUCCCGAGGAAAGAAACGCGUUGGACCCCCUGGAAUCGCACACGGUUGCAAUAUUAAUCUUCGUCGAUCGGUUGAAAAAUAUAAUGUAAAGUGUCUCAAGAGAAAAAAAUCAAUAAUCUUGUCGUGCAAUCUCAUCGUUAAUUAUCGAACGGGACAAUUGAGAAACAUUGGCACGAGAAACGUGCGCUAAACGAGAUAAUCGAAGUGGGAUAUCCCGUUUUCCCUGGCUACGCUUGAUUCAAUGCCAAGAAUUCUUCGCACACAAUUACGCUCUCUGUGCUUUACGAUCUGCGAUUAAGUAAUUGUAUAUAUCACUGUGGCGACGUACGUAAGUACACGAGUAACUAUAGGUCGAGCAUUAUCGAAGAAAUGAUAUAAAUAUACAAUCGAUAAACUCUUGUGGUUUUUUAAUAUUCAUUUACGUCUUAUUUAUUUGUUUAUUUAUUUAUUUAUUUAUUUUUUUUCGUAACAAAGAAAUAAUAAAAUAAUAGGAAAACGAUCGGAAACACAUGUUAUUGAAUUAAAGAGAUAAAUAUGCUUUCUUCAACUACCAUAAUAUCACCUCAA